GAGCAAUGAGACUGCAGGCACAGGUGCGGCCGGAUUCCCUGUCGCUGUCCCGCGCUGAGUGAAUUUUGCCUCGGAGCUGGUCCGAGGUCGCGCCUGCUCUUUUAAGGAGAAAUCUGUCUUCUAACUCUAAGGCCUUGGGAGAUGAAGGAUCCGUGAUUCUAAGGCAGAAAUCAGAGACGGGGUUUCACUAUGUUGAACAAGCUGGUCUCCAACUCCUGACCUCUGGUAAUCUGCCUACCUUGGCCUCCCGAAGUGCUGAGAUUACAAGUGUGAGCUACCAUGCCCAGCCAGUCGUGUGUAUAUUUUACAAUAUGACGUAUCAAUGGUAAGUGUGACCUCAACUCCCAGAAAGGUAAAAUAAGGGACUCUGAAAAUCUACUCCUCCAUAAAAGCAACAAGAACACUGGGAAAUUGUCAAAAUUAACUUUUUCAGAUCGCUGGAAACUAACUAAAAGCUUAUAACAAUCCAAGAAGUAGUUAUUUAAGACAAAUGGCUGAAUCUCAUAACAAUGAGACUUGAGGUGUUUUAACUCUUCCUAAUCCCUUCUCACUCUCUCUAGCUUUAUAGUAGCCUUAAAAACCAACAGCUUCACAACUAUGGUAGCUGUGAAACCCACCAGCCCACUGUCAUUGGAGAAGUCAGAACAGGUUAAGAGGUCCUCAAAAGCCUCAUCCCUAGGGUAUUUUUAGUGUUCAGCCUGUCUGGCACCUUACUGAAAAGCUCCGUUCUCAGGGCUUGUAUUUGUUUGACAUGACUCAGAGCUCACUUUGUGCAAACAGCUCCGCCAGCAGGGAAUUUGACAAAGACAAUAAGCAGCAGUUGUUUAAUAUUGUAGCUGCCUAAGGCAGUAUUGCCAUUUAGGGCUAGCAAAAUGCUGACCUAAACACUUAAAUGGAAAAACUGAGUAUAUUAGUCAGGAUUCUCCAGAGAAACAGAACCAAUAAGAUGAAUGGAUGGAUGGAAAGAUAGAUAGAUAGAUAGAUAGAUAGAUAGAUAGAUGAUACAUACAUACACACAUGUAUACAUACAUAUGUCACAGGAUCCUUAGGGUGUUGCUUCACCAGCCAGAAACCUCUGUGGCUAGUGGCACCUUCUGCCUGAAUAUUGCUUGUACCUGCUGGACUCAUUUUGCCCGCUCGGCCUGGCAAGCUGUGCUCAGCUCAGGCUACCGGCCCGGAUCCCACACCUGCCAACAGCAAACCAGGUUCAGAAUGGUGAGGAGUGUGUGGGCCAGUGAGCGUGGGGUCCGGCCACUGUGCACAGCCAGGCAGGCUGGCUACUGUGGCAAGGCAGGCAGCUCCAGGCGCCAGCACAGGUGCUGGCUCCGUGCGAGGCUGUGGCUGGUCCAAAUGUUCUGUGUGCAGAUUCUGUUGCAGACACCCAUAUCUGGAUGAGGGGAACACAGUGGCACCCAGAAGCUUGGAGAUGCCAGGAACCACAGAGCCCUAAAGAGGGUGUCACAGCUCUGGCUGGGGAGUCCCUAGGUCUGGGCUUCCCGAAGGGCCACAGCUCUUCUCUCCGUCUUGUCGUCCAUAACAUGGCAAGCAGGGGGGCGUGUUUCAUACCUGUUUGUGUUAUAGCUCUUUCAGUCCUGUCAUUUGUUGGGUCUUGAGCUCUUAUCCUGCAUCCAGGAAGAAUGAGGUAAGCAAGCAAGGUGGAGAGGGCAAGCAAGGUGGAGAGGAGCUUCAUUGAGUGACAGAACAGCUCUCAGGAGACCUGAAGUGGGUAGCUCCUUUCUGCAGGUAGGUCACCCUGAUGAGUGUCCAGCUCUCAGUGGAGAGGAGACCCAUAGUGGGUAGCUCUUUUCUGCAGGCAGGUCAUCCUGAUGAGUCAAGGAGACUCGAAGUGGAUAGCUCCUUCCCACAGCUUGUAGUCUUGAAAUCUGUGUGAGUCUGGGGAUUUUAUGGGCUUCAGAAAGGAGGAAGUGUGUGCUCAUUGGUCCAUGGGCAGCCAUGGGUGGGCCCAGGAAAAGCACCGUAAGUUCUCACUGUGGGCCACAGACUCUACCCAGAACUGGCAGCCUGGCCCCCAGGUUUCAGGCCAUUCUUGGCUCAAAGGAGGGGCUUUACUGGGGACCUGCCCCUUCCCAUCCAGGAACCUGUCUGCCUCCUGCCCUCAUCAACAUGUCAUCCAUGGCACCUUGGCUGUCCACACUGAGGGGUGUCUGCAGGCCCAUGCCAAGCUGCCCUCAGUCACUGCCCCUCCCAUCUCCCUCCCAUGCUCUUUGGCGCCCAAAGUCUGGAGGGGGCUGAGGUGGCUGGGGGCUGUUGUGUCAGCACCACCCUGAGCCCAUGUACAGCUGGCCAGGUUAUGACACUGCCCAGGCUCAACCACAACUUUGCUCUGCCCCAGAGCAGGUGCUGGGAGCAGGGAGAGGCCACAGAGCAGGAGCAGGCACUUCCAAGCCUGCGGGAGCGGGGGAGCUUCCCAGUCCCUGAGAGCACAGGGAUGCCCAGGUCUGGAGUUGUGGCUGGGUGGCUACAGCUGUGCCCCAGAGCAUGGUGCUCCUAGCCUACCAACUUGGUAAGGCAAGGAGCUCCCACCUAUUCCUGGCCCCUGCUAGCUCUGGGGAGUGCACAGCCCCAGCUGCACCUCCCCCACUGCAGCCUGUGUCUUCACAGUGUGGCCACUCCAGAUGGUCUGCUGCUGCUAUCACAUAUACAUACAUAAAUGCAUGCAUACAUACAUACAUAAAUAUACACAGAUUUGUUAUGGGAAUUGGCUCAUACAAUUAUGGAGGCUAAGAUGUCCCAAGAUGGGUUGUCUGCAAACUACAAAAUCAGGGAAGCUGUUGGUGCAAUUGUCUGAGCACAAAAGCCUAAGAACCGGGGGAGCAGAUGGUUUAACUCUCAGUCCUAGGCUGAAGGCCUGAAAAACUGGAGGGACUGCUUAUGUAAGUCUGAGUCCAGUUGCCUGAGAAUCUGGAGUUCAUUUUUUUUUUUUUUUUUGAGACGGAGUCUCACUCUCUCGCCCAGGCUGGAGUGCAGUGGCUCGAUCUUGGCUCAUUGCAACGUCCACCUCCCUGGUUCAAGUGAUCCUCCUGCCUCAGACUCCUGAGUAGCUGGGACUACAGGCAUGUGCCGCCAUGCCUAGCUAAUUUUUGUAUUUUUAGAAGAGACAGGGUUUCACCAUGUUGGCCAGGCUCGUCUUGAACUCCUGACCUCAGGUAAGGUUCCUAAGGUCCCUCCCAAAGUGCUAAGAUUAUAGGCGUGAGCCACCACGCCCAGCUGAGAAUCUGGAGUUCUGAUGUCUGAGGGUACGAAAAGAUGACUGUUUCAGCUCAGAGAGAGCAAAUUCAAACUUUUUCUGCCUCUUUGUUCUAUCUGUCAUCAAUGGUUUGAAUGACCUGCCUACAUUGGUGACCGCGGGUCUUCUUUACUCAAUCUACUGAUUCAAAUGCUUAUGUCUUCUGGAAACAUCCUCACAGUAUUCCUAGAAAUAAUAUUUUACCAGUUACCUGGGUAUCUUUAACCUAGUCAAAUUGACACCUUAAAUUAAUCACCACAUUAGGUAAUGAGAUGUCCAUAGUUGGCUUUGAAAACUAUGACAUAUACUUGGGAAUCUAGAAGGCCAGGAGAAACCUGAGAAGGCCUGAAACUCUUACCUCUGGUUGACUUUUGUGGCUCUAUGCAAGCAACAAGUGACAGGUAAGGCAGAAUUAUAAGCUGCCUGCUGGAGCAUUAAAGGUGCAACCCAACACACACAUAGAACCCUUUGGCAGAGUAAAAGAAUUAUUGUUUUAAGUGAUUUUUUAUAUAAAAAGGAUUAUACACCAUGACCAAGAGGGAUUUAUCCCAGGAAUGCAAGGUUGGUUUAACAUAUGAAAAAUCAAUCAAUGUAAUAUAUAUUAUAUUAAUAGCAU